UCAGGCCCUGUGGAACAAGCACGGAGAGGCUGACAUGGGAGGCCCAGGAGGCAGGGGUUUCAGGCACCAGGACAACCCUGAGCCAUAGCCUGGAUGAUACAAGUAUGAGCAGAACAAGGCUAAGGCCACGGGCAUCUUAGAGCAGCAGGCAACAAUCCUGGAAGCUGGGUUCACACAGACUGAGGUGAACAAAGAGGUGGUGUGGAAGCUGCUGCUGCAGUCCAGAGCCUGCCAAGAAGGUCCCAGGUCCACAGAGCCUGCGCAACACUGGGUGCCAGGGGCGGGGCUGGCCUGCCCCCAACCCCGUCUGCUGAGGAGUGGCUGACAAGCGGACACCCACCAGGGUGCCACUCGCUUGUGCCUGGGGAAGCAAAUGUGCUUGCUUGACCCGUCUGAUGUGCUGCCGUGGGCACUUGGCUGAGGGUGGCAGGGCACUCAGCUAACCCAAAGUGACACAUGCCUGGCGGGACGUUCAGUCUCUGUAAACUCCUAUGGGGUUUUCUUUCUUUCUUUAAAAAAAAAAUGUCUAGCUCCAUCUAGCGAAAGCAGAAAUAAAAAUUAUUAGGCCAA